ACCUGGGUGGCUCAGUGGUUGAGCAUCUGCCUUUGGCUCAGGUUGACCUCAGAUCCUGGGGUCCUGGGAUCGAGUCCCAGUUUAGGCU
rnacentral:tRNA from 1 species